CACGUAGGGCGCAAGCGUUGUCCGGAAUUAUUGGGCGUAAAGAGCUCAUAGGCGGUCUGUUGCGUCCGCUGUGAAAACUCGAGGCUUAACCUCGAGACGUCGAUGGAAACCAUCUGGCUAGAGUCCGGAAGAGGAGAGUGGAAUUCCUGGUGUAGCGGUGAAAUGCGCAGAUAUCAGGAAGAACACCCGUGGCGAAGGCGGCUCUCUGGGACGUGACUGACGCUGAGACGCGAAAGCGUGGGGAGCAAACAGG
rnacentral:rRNA from 1 species